rnacentral:misc_RNA from 1 species
GCCCAGUCGUGCCAGCAGAGAAGACAUUGAAACAUGUGGCCACAGCAUGAGUAACUUGAGCAGUCCUCUUGCCCCUAACCGAACUCCAUCUCCAUUAGCACUGCAGCAUCACCCUUCAAAUAGAGACCACUUUAACCCAAUAUAUCAGUCAUCUGCAAAUCAAUCUCCGUGGUCAGCAAAAGCAUGCCAUGAGAACGAAUCUCUGCCCCCUGACAAUCUCUCAGAGGUAUCCACUAGGAAGAGUAAUAUGGGCACUCCAGAG